GGAAUCUUCCACAAUGGACGCAAGUCUGAUGGGGCAACGCCGCGUGAGUGAAGAAGGUCUUCGGAUCGUAAAACUCUGUUGUUAGAGAAGAACACGAGUGAGAGUAACUGUUCAUUCGAUGACGGUAUCUAACCAGCAAGUCACGGCUAACUACGUGCCAG
rnacentral:rRNA from 1 species